ensembl:lncRNA
GGGCAAGAAAUCCCCCCCCGGCAGAUUUAGAAACGUUUUGCUGACGUCGACGUCCUCCUCACUCGGAUGCACAUGGCGGCGGACGCCGAACGGCCGUAACGUUCCCGGCGUGUUUACGGCACGGCCGGUUUACGUUUAGCCCCGCCCAUAAAACUCCUUAACCGGCGACGCUCGCGGAGAGCCGAAAAACGACGGAGUGAAAGAGCGCCUCGUAAAUCUCCCAGUAAUGCAGCGAGCCGACAACCAUAGACACGCGCUAACCCCUUGUCCUUUUACGAGGGUGCCAGUACUUUUGUCCUGAUUGAAUAGGACAGCCUCGUUUUGUCUUAAUCCGUUGAGAUGUUUCAGAUCGCCUUCCUUCGAUCGUAAAUUUUUUUCCAAAAAGAAUCAAGUUUGGCAAAAUGCCCAUUAAACGAGAGCGUAUCCGAAAUAAAUAAGCGACCCAAGCGGGACGGAACAUUCCGGUUUUGCGUCAACUUCUGCGAGUGACGCGAUCCGGAGCGAUCGAUCGAGGUUCGUGUUACCGAGUCUGCUUAGACCUGAAUGUAAUAAACUCGGGAGCAAAACACGAUGGUUUUUCUCAAGAAAGUAGGUUUACGUUUCUUUCGUUAAAACUUUUUGGGAAUUCAUUUGAUUUAUAAACGAGUUCGAUAACUGAAGCCCAGUGCUGGGAAAAUGGAAUUAAAUAUAUUAAGGACCAACAUUUUACAAGAAUUAAAAACAUAACGUCGUUAAAAAAGAAUAAAGAAAUGCCGUCUUUUUUAACAUUAUUUAAUUCUCCUUCUUCUUAUUAUUAUUAUUAUUAUCUUAUUAUUAUUAUCUGCUCGCUAGGCUAAAAUGUGACCUGCCGAAGCAUGGAUGUUCAAAAAGGACUGCUCAUGUUCUUAUCGUCUCGCGUUCACGAGGGUUUUUUUUUUUCUUUUUUUUUUUUUUAUGCCAGUAUGAAUGAACAUGCAGGUCGUGUCGGUUUAUUUGCAUAAGGACCACGAGUCUUCCAUCUUCGAUGCGAGUGUAACUGUCGAGUUUACGUGAUAGAGCUGUAGAUGUUCCUUCCUUUCUUCUGGCUAUUGAAGUUAAUGACGCUACGUGAGCUUUAAGAUCCGCGGCUACGGGACGAGCCGUGUUCAGAGCAGUCAUCCGGGUUUCUGUUUCAUCGUUUGUUCUUGUUAAGCGCUUUGAGCUGAGCGGCUGCCAUCUUCACUUCUUUACAUCAUUUAAAAAAAAUUUGUUUUAAACGGGGCCUCAAGACUGUACCGUACGGAAUAAAACGCAUCGUGUCACGUCAUCGUGGGGAAAUGAUCAACGACGGGGUCGGUGUGAUGAAGCGGAGUUACUCAAGUUAAUGAACGGUCUGUAACAGCACAUCUGGAUGCGUUUUAUUCCCCUCGUACCACAGCGAUAUACCAGUGAUGUGAUUUUUGUAUGAAUUUUAUAAUGACACACCGUACUUUUUUUUUUUCUUUUUUUUUUUUAUCCCUUUAUAGCUACAUUACUGUUGUGGAAUUUCCUUCACCAGAUUUAUUUAUUUAUUUAUUUAUUUAUUUAAUUGCGAUUCUGAUUGGUUGAAGGCGUCGAUUAAUUUCCUAGGACAGUAGGAUCCCUCACCAGAUUUAUUUAUUUAUUUAUUUAUUUAUUUAUUUAUUUGCGAUUCUGAUUGGUUGAAGGCGUCGAUUAAUUUCCUAGGACAGUAGGAUCCUUUACCAGAUUUAUUUAUUUAUUUAUUUAUUUAUUUAUUUAUUUAUUUAUUUGCGAUUCUGAUUGGUUGUAGGCGUUUAUUUAUUUAUUUAUUUGCGAUUCUGAUUGGUUGAAGGCGUCGAUUAAUUUCCUAGGACAGUAGGAUCCCUCACCAGAUUUAUUUAUUUAUUUAUUUAUUUGCGAUUCUGAUUGGUUGAAGGCGUCGAUUAAUUUCCUAGGACAGUAGGAUCCUUCACCAGAUUUAUUUAUUUAUUUAUUUAUUUAUUUAUUUAUUUAAUUGCGAUUCUGAUUGGUUGAAGGCGUCGAUUAAUUUCCUAGGGCAGUAGUGCCGCCGCACGUCACGGGUUUAUAGUAAUGCGCCGGUUCUAACGCGCUAUCGUUUCUAUAGUAACAGCUCGGCGUAAACGUGCCCGUCUGAGGUUUUCUGUAAGGACGCGUUUAUGUAACGUUUCUGGAAGGAGACGCCAGUAUCGGAGGAGUUUACACUCACGGUACUUCCCGACACGACGACAUGUCCGUCCUGAAGACUUUCACGUGACCGUUACGAAGUGCUGACAACUGGAGACUCCUUCCCUGAAUGUUAAAUAAACACCUCCAUGCAGAAAACUUCAGCUUUUUAAACCCAGCGUGGUGGGGGGGGGUUUCCCCCCCAGACAUCUCUUUAGAACGGAUAUUAGCUUAACAUGAUUUCAGUGACGGACCCAGCUAGCAGAUGGGGAACGGAGAAGAUUAGAGCGGUACGAUGAGAGCGUAUAGUCACUCUGAUACAGGAUAUUGUGACCUACCAUGCUUCGUGACGAUUCUGUAAUCUGAUGGACAAUAAACGUCUUUUAUUUGAACAGAUUUGUGAAGAUGACUGAUCACGGCCGCAUCGUUCCCUCAGUUUUUUUUUUUUCUUUUUAAAAGCGUCUCGCGUUACCAAGCCCACUUUUGAAACUCGUACUCGGAGGUUAAUUCAGCGGUGGUUAUCUUGCGCCGGUAAUCUGCUGUGCGCAGCAUUGGCCGUAAGCCUCGCCGCGAUAACGCUGGGAGCACACGGCGAGGAAGCAAACGCAGAGAAAUCGGCUUCACGUCCACGGGUGUAAUUCCUCGCGGAUUCUCAUGGAUUUAAUUAAGCCUCCAUACCGCAACGGUCCAAAUUAUUCUCUCCGGGAACACUGGGUGUUUCUUCAUCCUCGCUGUUAGUGUGGAGUAAGAACUGGCUUUGAAACUUAGCAGGUUUAUUCUUUGUUUUUGUUUUUUUUUUUGUUGUUUUUUCUUUUACAAAAAGUUCAGGACGCUAUGAAACGAUCGAAGAUGUAAGGUCGUGUGACGAAAAAUCAUAUACAGACUUGGCAGGUCAUGAGAGCAGAUCAGCUCACCAGAUAGGCUAUAAUUAUUUAUCAUUUUAAUUAUAUUUGUAUUAAUGGAAGGGUGCAUGCAUCGGGCCUUUCGGACGUACUCGUGGAUGAUUUAUAAGAGGUUUCUUUAAAAAAAAAAAAAAAAAAAAAAAAAAGAAGGCCUACUUGUUUCUAAAUAAUUAAUCCCCCCCCAAAAAAAAUAUUUAAUUUCAAACUUGAUCGUACUUAUAUUCAAUGUGUACAAAAAUGCAUUUCACACUGAUAAAACAAGUAAAAAAAAAAAAAACUAUUAAUUUUUUAAAGAUUAGAUAAAAAAAAAAAAUUAACUCCUUUAAAUCAAAGUUUGUAACGGUUUCAUAAUAUUAAUAAUAAUAAAUAGAUGAAAAAUAUUUGAAUAUUGAUGAUAUCUCAGACGAAUUUCUGACGAUAUUGUCAUCAAAGCAUCAUGUUUCCUAGCCCUAAUACACUAUUGAAAACUGAAGAGUGAAGAAUAAAUAAUUAAAGCAGGCGUUCAGUGAAACCCCUGAAACGUUCUCGUCACGGAUUAGCUGAGAUUUAUUUCCCCGGGAGACCGUUUUCCCGUUCGCCGAUACCCGUUCCUUAUUUAGACUUUCUGGUCGUCUAGAACGUACCGUUAACCGAGAACAUGUCGGUGCGCAGGGAGCUUCCAGUUCACAGGUUAACAGCGUAACCUGCUGGGGCAGAGUUUUAUAGAAGUC